AGUGAACGCUGGCGGUAGGCCUAACACAUGCAAGUCGAACGGCAGCACAGUAAGAGCUUGCUCUUACGGGUGGCGAGUGGCGGACGGGUGAGGAAUACAUCGGAAUCUACUUUUUCGUGGGGGAUAACGUAGGGAAACUUACGCUAAUACCGCAUACGACCUACGGGUGAAAGCAGGGGAUCUUCGGACCUUUCGCGAUUGAAUGAGCCGAUGUCGGAUUAGCUAGUUGGCGGGGUAAAGGCCCACCAAGGCGACGAUCCGUAGCUGGUCUGAGAGGAUGAUCAGCCACACUGGAACUGAGACACGGUCCAGACUCCUACGGGAGGCAGCAGUGGGGAAUAUUGGACAAUGGGCGCAAGCCUGAUCCAGCCAUACCGCGUGGGUGAAGAAGGCCUUCGGGUUGUAAAGCCCUUUUGUUGGGAAAGAAAAGCAGCAGGUUAAUACCCCGCUGCUCUGACGGUACCCAAAGAAUAAGCACCGGCUAACUUCGUG
rnacentral:rRNA from 1 species